UACUCGAGGUGACAUGAUCGCCAUUCGCCUGGAUUCUGAUUCCAAAAGACUGGCUCCUUCCCGUGAUCACCGGUGAGAUCGAUCACGAUCGCUUGCCUGCUUUGCUCGCGGAUUGCAAGCCCCUCGUCACUACUUGGAUAAUGAGUUGCACUCGCUACAAUCCUACAAUACCCGGAUGGGAGACCUUUCGUGGCAACGGGCAACCUCUAGUGCGAGCUAAAUACGACUAAGGAUCACGCUAGUGAAUGCAGCCAGAAUGCAACUGGAAGGGUCGGUGGCAGCCCUCCUUUUAGGGAUAUGUACACUGCUGAUGGUCAUAAGGCAAGGAUGUGGUUUUUUAUGCCAUGUGUGUAAUUCAGCUCCACAUCGUGAUGGUGAAAAUUGCUCCGAUACGUUUACUGAUAGGAAGUUCUUAACAGAUUGUGAUACGUUCUUCCCAAAUGCAACUAUGGGAUCAUGUAGGAAAAUCGUUCAAAAUGUUCAGGGAAAAUCACGAGUAGUUCGCCAGUGUGGAAGGGAGAAGGCUCCUCUGAAAUGUGUCGACAGGGCUGGAACAAAGAACAUUAAGAUCAAAUAUUGCCAUUGCCAAGGGGAUUUCUGCAAUGGUGUGAACACAGUGCAUGGAAAUUCACAGUGGAACAGGUUUUUGUCGAUAUUUUUCACAGGCUUGAUAUGUUUGGCAGUGCCAUGUGUGUAGGCAGAGAUGUAACUUCAGGGAUAUUCAGAUGGAUGGUGAGUGUUGAGGACUUAACUUUGCGGAAGUUCUGGAAAUCAUUAUCCUGAAAGCAUGUAAUCAUCAGUUGCAUAAGAUACGGUUAAACAUACAUCUUUAGGCACCAUUGGACCUCCGAAAUCGUGCGACAGGUUCUUUACCGCUUGUAAUAGUGACUACAUGUGGAUACCAAACGUGUCCGUCACCGUGGAAAUAUGAUAAAUAUACAUUUACUUUGUGGCAGCUAAAGUCAUCUGGUUAAAAUUCUUUGUCCUUAUUUCGAACGAAGCUGGAGGAUGUAAAUGUGAUGGUUCAGUGCACCUUUCUCAUCUUAUUAGCAUUGACCAAGGAGACGAAAACCAAUAAAAGUACACUGGGUCGGAUGCGUACAGGUUUUUUAUCGGUAAUUAGAUUAAGAAGGUUCUGUUCUAAACGGUAUAUCUCUUGUUCAAUACUGAAUCACGUAUCGUGGCAACGGUUCAAUGCUACAUGUAUCAUGAGAAUAACAUCGUAGUGCAUUUUUAUCGAUUAUAUACGAAAUUAACCGGAUUACACGUUGGUGGAAGAGACUAAUGCCAUGCCAAUGGCAAGGUUGGCCUGCUGUGGAUGCUCUUCUGAGGGGCUGAUCAACUGGAGCUAAGACGAAUCAAACCAAACUAAAGAAGCUCACGGCACUUUUAAACGGAAACGAUACUUACAGAAUAUGAGAAAUCGGUGUACGAUAUCAUGGAUUCCGUUUCUCUGGAUUCACCCUUCUACAUGGCAUUGUUAUCAUAAAGUUGCGCCUGCUGUCUAUUGUCAUGGACCAUAAGCCUAUGGGAGACAUUAGAAACCGUCACACCAAGAUCGGUACCGGAUCAGCAAAGAUGAAAUGUUGUGGCUCAUCUUGUCCCAUAUAGUCCCAUUAGAUAAGGUAGCCCAGUACCAAACGGAAAGACAAAGUUCCGAGAUGAGAACCAGUGAUGAGCGCCAUGUGAAUUCGCUUCCUACAAUGACUGCUCAAUAACCAAUCAGACUGGCUCAGUGAGCAAUCGGAUGCCUGCCAUGAUUGGGUUUCUUCCAGCUUGUAACCUAUUCCAUGAUAGUUAUCAAGGGUGAUUCUUGCCAAUGUCAUUGUUAGGAAUGUAGUGAGUAGAAGUGAUAGUUAUAUGUGGCAAUGAAUUUUCACCACACACACACACACACACGUGCAGCUGAAAAGCAAUUCUAGUUUUCUCUGUAAGUUAAAAAACGGGAUGUUCCUUCCCCGUCAUUCGUCCAUUAGUCUCCGCAGAUUGGUUCACACUGAAUCACGUAGGGAUUAUCAGCAGCACGAUGUUCGUCCAGGCGUGGUGUUUAACAUAGAGAAAUCAGGCUUUCUGUAUUUAGCGCAAUCUUAAAUUUACGCUAAGCGCAAUGAAAUGGGGAAAACCCAAAAAGUUUAUUUCUAUGCCUACUCAGAAACACGAUGAAAUGCAUGCAAUCGGGACAUCGGGAACGAUGUCUACUACUUCCGGUUGGGGAGUAUUCAUUAUUUGGCUCCAAGAUAAAAUCAAUAAAGCCACAGAAAAUGCUUUCGAAGUACACUUUCUGAUAAUAAUUUCGAGCCCAUAAGGGGAGGUUUUAGACAGAUAGAUAGAUAGAUAUGAUAAGGAUACGUAGAAUAUCAUUCUCCAAAGCAGACAUGAUCUUCAAGCUCAUAGGUCACCGCCUCAUCACACUAUUAUCACUGCGCCGGAGUAUAAUAGUAAAUCGAUAGGCGCUUAUGGCAAGCUGUGUGUCCAAUAAUCAAGAAAACCUAGUUUUAUUGAAGAAAACCUGGUUUUGUUCAGUGAAACUAGGUUUUUAUGGAAAAAGCAUAGGUUUAUUAUAAAAAACAAAUUUUCUUGAUCAAAAACCAAGUUUUUUGCAAGGAACUAUGUUUUCAAAAAUUAAACCUAUAUGCUUCUUCAAUAAAAACCUAGUUUCGAAGAAGAAAACUUGGUUUAGUGGAAUAGAUCCAGGUUAUAUACUUGUCUUCAUCAAAACCUAGUUUUUAUUGAAAAAGACCAGGUUAUUUCUUAUAAAAAAUAGUUUUCAAUCCAUAUGCUAGAAAACAUAGUAUUUUUACCUCGUCUCCACAGCGGGGCACACAUGGUUCGUCUGGGAGAGAGGAUGGGUUGGAUAUCAGGAGCUUUCAUUACUCCACAUGCGCAAUGAAACAAAAUGCAUGUCAAGUUUAUACGUUGUAUGUUGAAUUAUAACAUCAUUCUUAUAAAUCAAUCAUCCUUUGAAAUCGAAUUUGGAAAAUGUUACCUUGAGAAGCAGCAGAACAAAAGUACCAAAGGCUCCUGCGCAUGGCCCCCUGCGCAUGCUCGGAUCCUGGACAACCCGGGUAAAUCGAACCUCGAUUAGUUUCAUGGAAGAAAACCAUGUUUUUUUUCAAUGAAACUAGGUUUUUAUUGAAGAAAACCUGGUUUUCUUCCAUAGAACUAGGUUAUAUUGAAGAAAACAUAGUUUUUAUCUUUUUUUAAACUUAGUUUUCUUGAAAGAAAACCUAGUUUUCUUCCAUAUAACCUAGUGGUAUAGAAGAAAACCAUGUUUUCUUCAAUAUAAACCUAGUUUCAUUGAAAAAAACCAGAUUUUCUUCCAUAAAACGAAGUGUUAAAAGAAAAAAAACCAGGUUUUCUUCAAUAAAACUAGGUUUUCUUAAUUAUUGGACACACGGCUUGCAAUAGGCGCUAUCUAUGAGAUGAUAAUAUUAUAACUACCCUGGUUCCCUGUCCCGUUUAUACUUUUUCCAUGUAAUUUUUAGUGACAGAAAAUAAUAAUAUUGCUCCCGAGGCGUAAUUUACGCUAAAUAGGCGUAAUAUUGCGCUAAAUACAAUAAGCCGAGAAAUCAUGUAUUUUUCCAGGUGUCACGCAGCCGCCAAUGCAAAUGCCAACUCUGUACCCCUUUAUCGGCCUGGUAAGGUGGUCGAUACUUUAGUAGUCCUUUUGGACUAUUUCUAUGGUCUGCAUUCAACACUUAAUGCACAGAGGACAAAAAAUGAAAAUGUCAGCACUAUUCCCAAAAUCGUUCAUUGAUCACAAGUAUAACUUUCUACAUAAAAUGAUAGGUCGACAAAUAUUUUUCUUAUCUACAAAAAUCCAGCAGGUCGAAAAAAAAAUUUGUUAGCUCUGAAUUCGACACUAGAUUAGUGGUGAUUCCUAACGGGUCUAACCGAUUUAGCAUAUAACGCUGCAUCAUGAUCUCACAUCAAAUAUUAACAAACGGACACGUAAGGAAUUGAGGCCAUCGACCCCCCCCCCCAUUAAAGCUGUCUCGUGGGGGUCGAUGUUAUAGACAGUGUAUUGGGUUUGGCCGGACUUCUUUUAACUGCGGGGUAAAGGGCAAAAUAACGUAAUGAGGACUGAUUCCGCUACAGCGAAAAAACCGCCGCGUCUUGCCGUUUACGGAAGGAUAUAAAAAGCAAAAAAUAUAAAAUUCAGGCGGCAAGCUUUUUCAGUGGAAUCAGUCCAUUAGUGUUAAUCUUAGCCUAAUAUAACCGAAGCCUGCUCUGGGACAUACAUGUGUACGACCUCAGCGCAUCAAGCGUACUUCCUGUCCAAGCAAAAAUAUGCUUAACUGCAAGUAGAUCGUACUGUUGAGUUUGAAGUAGUUAGAUAUUGUAAUGUACAACAUUGUUAUGAAACAAUAUGUGCACGUCCCAAAGCCUCCGCAUACACUGUAUGCUUGCGUCACGAAACAACAUGUAGGUAACGAUGUCUCCAGCGUCACGUGUCGCUAAUAUGUUGCAACAUAUCAACUCUGUUGUGGUUUGAUAAGGUGAUUCUAAGCCUAAAAUCCAUCUGAUUCAUUAUUUCUUCCGCCAGUAAUUUUGGAAUUUCGGAAACUUUAAAUAAUGAAAUAAUGUAUCACUGCACCGUCUUAGUUAAUACUCAAAACUCGCCUAUCUAAGACCAGUUCAUUAUUUUGAGGCAUGACCUUCCCCAGUAUCAUAUGCUCAGGCCACGAUUCCUUCAUACUGAUUGGCUCACACUAACAUGUUCUUCAGGUUGUGGUCGGUUAAUGGACAGUGGUUGGCAUUGGGAAUGAACUGAUCACUUGUGACCUAACCACUUAUAAUUCUCAGUGGUUAUGGUGUGGUCAAUCAGCUUCCCUGUCUUUUAACCUACUGACAACGAAUCUUCAAUAAAAGAAAUUGCAUUGAUAAUAAAGUGAAAUUCUUAAUGGCCUGCCAUUCUGAACUUUUACUAUGAAAUUGAUGCAAAGGCGAAAGGCAUUACCAUUGAAACAUUUGGUGUCACCCAGGCACCCAUUGUCCACCCCAUUGAACAAUGUCAAAUGGCAUCUAACGACAAUCCACAUAUUAUCUAACGGGGUUCGGCUUGCAAAUCCAGAAGCUGUCUUAGAUCAGUCUAGAGUAUUACACACAGUCAUUGAGAGCUCAUGCGAAGAGAAAUUACACGAUCAAAUGUCAUUCUUGUGUCUCGUACAGAAAGCAUCUGCACCAGAACCCCUCAUGCCCAUUCUGGCGUUACCAUGGAGACGUAAACUGAUAAAUAUGACAAGCGCAUCUAAUUCACUGGCCUUGCUGCCUCAUGCGUGGGCAAUGUAUAUAUAUACAUGUAUAUAUCUCCCGUAUAAGACAGGACGCCUUGCGAGUGGUAUUAUUUAGACCUCAACACGAUGACCCGCUCAUUGACGUUCACAUUUUCUGUCACAUCUAGAACCCCCUCUCCACACAAGACCUCUGUGAUCUCCCAACUGAGCCAGCCCGUCAUUUUAGUCUCCAGACAUUUUCCAUUAAACUCUCUUUAUAUACAGGGUAAAGCUAAGCGUGAAAUUUUCGCAAAAGGCUAACAUUUGGCGAAUUUGCUUAAUGUCGCCUGGCGAAAGACUAAAUAUUGCCUGCGCUGCCGAAAUUUAAUGGUUUAUGCAUUAGGGUUAACACCUUUAAAAGGGUUCAUCUUUGAAAAUCGCAGAAUUAAAGGCUCGCAAAAAUCUCGCCGGCAGUUUACGUUGAGGUACCGUAAUGUUAUGACAUUUAUGGCGAAGGGAAAAUCUGUUUCAAUGGUGAUGCUAUCUAUUAACAAAGAUAGGAAUCUCUUGUCCGACGACUAUCCAUGGAUGUAAACGAAAGAGUAAUAAUGUAUACCACCGAUUCUCUGAUUUUCAAAGGCCAAUUACGCUCCUCAAUAUCGUUUGACAAGUGGCGAUUAUGAAAUUUUAGAUUCGACUUGAGAUUCUUUAAUUACUGAGUGCAUAAACAGUAAGGCAAGGAUCGUAUAUGCGAGUUGUCGUAAUUUCUACAUCUCGUCGAGCUAUAUUUACGAGUUGCCUGUCGAUUUAGCUACGAUGUAUACGUCUUUCAAAAAAUAAGUUUGCGCAAAAAGCGCACCUCGGCGCAUAUCGUUGUUAAAAUCAAAAAUUAUUUCCCAACAUGCUCUGUUAAUUGUCUAGAUACUAGGUGAAAAUCGGUGAGAUUUCAGAUGUCCAACGUUUUUAUGCUGUAGCCAAGGAGGAUACCGCGGUGACGUCACGGCUUUUCCAAGAUGGCGCUGCAUAUUGUAAACAAACUCGAUCCACGGCCAAGGGAAAAUCAAGUCAUCAAAUAAAGUUAGAUUUUUCGCAUCAAAUCAGAGUUAUUAGGAUUUUUCUACUAAGAAAUAAGUCUUCAAACAAUAGGUUAUCAUUUGAUUAAUGAAAAGUGCUGUUUUGAUGGGGAAAAAUAGGGUUUUUAAAACCAAAUAGCCGGGCACCGAUCUUCCAAAAUUAGCGAUGGUUUCAAAACAGUCUCCCAGAUAUGGGGCAAUCUCUUCAUUAUCAUAAUGGGAUUUGGAGGCAUGUUUACAGAUUUUACAAGUUCGAGACCUGUAGGACCUAAAACUCGCAUAGAUCCCCAUAGAUCUCCUCUAUUUGUCGAGUUAGCGCCCCUGUAAGAUCAUGCAUUUUCGGACACUAGAACGAAAUCUUCCUGCGGAUAUCGCGGUUUCGGUGAUGAUUUAGGGAGAAAUUGACUGUUCUUAGAGUUGUAUGGGACACAAAUGAGUUCAUACUUCAUGAAUACAUGAAUAUAUUUUGAUAUGGGCGGGCUUCUAAGUCAAAACAAUAACAAACUCAACUGCAUCUCUACCGUGUAUCGCGUAGUGCAUUGUCUAGUGUAUUUCGUAGUGUAUUUUAGCGGAACCAUUAUUUCCGCACUUUGGCCACGCUAAACGUCUUUUUUAUUCGUGGAAGUUAAUCUGCUCUGUAAAUUUUAUUUUACGCAGGAAGAAUCCAUACUAGGUAUUGCAAUAUUUAAUGUCUAUUGGUGUUUUUGUGUACAGGAGCGCACCAGACAGUGAGGCGUGGAGAUGCGUUCAGUGCUGGUGCUGUCAGUAGACUGAAUCUGAUUGGCCAUAGCGAUCAGUAAUAUGGGUCGUGAUCACGUGAUGUGACGUCACCGCGGUAUCCUCCUUGUGAUGUAGCUUACAUUUUGGGUAUCCGGCCAUACAUAUAUGCCGGCACAGCUUAAUUAAGAAAAUCGGGCCAUCGCCCGCAAAUUCGACUAUGCCAGUUUUCUGGCAUCAUAGCCGUAAACUUAAUGGGGCGAUAGCCCGAUGACGACAACUCGUACUCAUAGGAUCCUUGAUUAACUGAGAUAUCUCCGCUAAGAUAAUGCGCGUCGGCGGAGAACAGAGGCACGGAUUCGCCGCCAGGUUUUGAGGUAUGGGCUUGAUGGAAAAAGUACAAAAAUAUUCAAUUCGGUUGUCAUAGAAAUCCGCAAAGAACUUCGCAAGAUUCUUCUCUGCAUUUCAUUCAUCGAGUACGACGGCCAUCGGAUCUAAAAAUCAAACUGUGGUUGGACUGAAGGAAUGCUCGUCUGUGACUGUAAUAACUUAUGAACUGUUGUCUGUUACAUGAUGUUAACGUUGUUAUUUCGUACUAUGAAACGUACUGAAAUUGUUUAGGUGCCUAUACAAUUUUUACAGCCAUGUACAAUGAAUGUAUACGUAUAAUGAUAAUAUAAUAAUAGAAUGCAAUAAAUUGUA